GAUGAACGCUAGCGGCAGGCUUAACACAUGCCAGUCGAGGGGUAUUUCUCUUCGGAUAGAGAGACCGGCGCACGGGUGCGUAACGCGUAUGCAAUCUACCUUUUACAGAGGGAUAGCCCAGAGAAAUUUGGAUUAAUACCUCAUAGUAUAUAGACUCGGCAUCGAGAUUAUAUUAAAGUCACAACGGUAAAAGAUGAGCAUGCGUCCCAUUAGCUAGUUGGUAAGGUAACGGCUUACCAAGGCUACGAUGGGUAGGGGUCCUGAGAGGGAGAUCCCCCACACUGGUACUGAGACACGGACCAGACUCCUACGGGAGGCAGCAGUGAGGAAUAUUGGACAAUGGGCGCAAGCCUGAUCCAGCCAUGCCGCGUGCAGGAGGACGGUCCUAUGGAUUGUAAACUGCUUUUAUACGAGAAGAAACACUGCUACGUGUAGCAGCUUGACGGUAUCGUAAGAAUAAGGAUCGGCUAACUCCGUG
rnacentral:rRNA from 1 species